UACGGAGGGGACUAGCGUUGUUCGGAAUUACUGGGCGUAAAGCGCACGUAGGCGGAUUUGUAAGUCAGGGGUGAAAUCCCGGGGCUCAACCUCGGAACUGCCUUUGAUACUGCAAAUCUCGAGUCCGGAAGAGGUGAGUGGAAUUCCUAGUGUAGAGGUGAAAUUCGUAGAUAUUAGGAAGAACACCAGUGGCGAAGGCGGCUCACUGGUCCGGUACUGACGCUGAGGCGCGAAAGCCAGGGGAGCAAACGGG
rnacentral:rRNA from 1 species